rnacentral:rRNA from 1 species
GGGGGAAUUGUUCGCAAUGGGCGCAAGCCUGACGACGCAACGCCGCGUGGGGGAUGAAGGUCCUCGGAUUGUAAACCCCUGUCGAGCGGGACGAACGGCCCGCGACCUAACACGUCGUGGGAGUGACGGUACCGCCAAAGGAAGCCACGGCUCAAUCUGUGCCAGCCGCCGCGGUAAUACAGAGGUGGCAAGCGUUGUUCGGAAUUACUGGGCGUAAAGGGCGCGUAGGCGGCUGUCUAAGUCAGACGUGAAAUCCCCCGGCUCAACCUGGGAACUGCGUCUGAUACUGGGCGGCUUGAAUGCGGGAGAGGGAUGUAGAAUUCCAGGUGUAGCGGUGAAAUGCGUAGAUAUCUGGAGGAAUACCGGUGGCGAAGGCGGCAUCCUGGACCGACAUUGACGCUGAGGCGCGAAAGCUAGGGUAGCAA